rnacentral:lncRNA from 1 species
UGCACCUUCUCCAUCACCCGCAAGUUUUGACUCUUCCAAGAAUGUGAAAUCUAAUGGACCUUCAGCUUCAGGUCCUGACGGGUCUAGCUUUUAUUCAGGUUCUGGUUCUUUUAUGAGUUCCGGUUCCUAUGAGGGUUCCUGCUCUUACAAGGAUUCUAACUCUUUUAAGGGUUCUGCAAAUUCUAGUGAAUCAGGUUCUCGCAAUUGUGAGAGUUCGGGCUCUUCUAAGAAUUCAGACUCUUCAUCAG